UCCUUCCCUCUCCCUCUCUCUCUCUCUCUCUCCCUCUCCCUCUCUCUCCCGUGCCACUCUCACUCAGUCGGUGCGUGGAGAGCGGGCGUGGAGGUUGUGCGUCGCUCUUACUGGUGUGAGAGGAAGGAACACAGGUAAAAGAACACUACCUGAAUCUAUUGAACUGAGAAACUUACUUGCUCACUCGCUCACUCGCUCACUCGCUCACUCUAUCCUUUGACAACUCACCUGGAAGAAAGAAAAAAGAAAGUGACAUUGAAUCCAAAAUAAAGAAAAGUCCAAAGGGAAA